GCAGAGCCGUGGCCCUCUUCUUUGUUCUCUGCUGGAUCCAAGAGUCGGAGUCUCCCUAUGUUUCCCAGGCUGGUCUCGAACUCCUGACCUCAAGUGAUCCUCCCACCUCAGCCUCCCAGAGCGCUGGGAUUGAAGACGUGAGCCACCGCACCUGGCCUGAAUUUUCCUCAGAUUCAAAAAAUCCUGAUGAAGGUUUGGCUAAAAUCUUUGGUGAGUUACCCCCAUCCUUGUGGAACCUCAGGCUGGAUUUGAAGAGUUGCAUGCGUGGUCCUCAUUGUCUCCCAGAUGAAAUUCUGCUGCAAGUGUUUUCCAAGGUUCCGUAUGACCCAUCAUUUGAUGAAACAAGAACAGCAGUCAGAUCCAUUACAAAGAGAGACACACAAAAAAGCUAUUCCCAACAAAAGAGCUUGAACAGUGCUGCAUUUGCAUCAGGUUCAAAUGAGCGAGAGGAACAUUUGGCUAAAAUAUUUGGAACCAGUGUUGUUUGGAAAUCUCCUAAACCAGAAUAUUUCCUUGGCAGUGUGGACAAAAUUCCCGAUAAAGAUCACCUUUCAGAGGAGAAGAGUUUUAAAGAAUCCUCUCUGUUCGACAGGGUUUUAAGAGAGCAGUUAACUACUGUAGAUAAAGAAACACUUCAAGGGGCAGCUAAACCAGAUGCUCACUUUAGGACUAUGCCCUGCGGGCAGCUUCUGCACUUCCUGCAGAGGAACAC
rnacentral:sRNA from 1 species